UUCUGACUCAGGUGAAUCGGUACUAUUUCACUUUUUUUCCGAUCAUCUUGAAAAUUUAGGUCUGUUCGACCUUUAAAAUUUCACAUGAUCUGAGUUCAAACCGGUUUAAGCCAGAUUGGUUUCUAUCCUUAAUUUUAUUAAAAAUUUUUAGUACGAGAGGAC
rnacentral:lncRNA from 1 species